UGGGGAAUAUUGCACAAUGGGCGCAAGCCUGAUGCAGCGACGCCGCGUGAGGGAUGACGGCCUUCGGGUUGUAAACCUCUUUCAGUACCGACGAAGCGAAAGUGACGGUAGGUACAGAAGAAGCACCGGCCAACUACGUGCCAGCAGCCGCGGUAAUACGUAGGGUGCGAGCGUUGUCCGGAAUUACUGGGCGUAAAGAGCUCGUAGGUGGUUUGUCGCGUUGUCCGUGAAAACUCACAGCUCAACUGUGGGCGUGCGGGCGAUACGGGCAGACUGGAGUACUGCAGGGGAGACUGGAAUUCCUGGUGUAGCGGUGGAAUGCGCAGAUAUCAGGAGGAACACCGGUGGCGAAGGCGGGUCUCUGGGCAGUAACUGACGCUGAGGAGCGAAAGCGUGGGGAGCGAACAG
rnacentral:rRNA from 1 species